rnacentral:rRNA from 1 species
ACGACUCUCGGCAACGGAUAUCUCGGCUCUCGCAUCGAUGAAGAACGUAGCGAAAUGCGAUACUUGGUGUGAAUUGCAGAAUCCCGUGAACCAUCGAGUCUUUGAACGCAAGUUGCGCCCCAAGCCUUCGGGCCGAGGGCACGUCUGCCUGGGUGUCACGCA